rnacentral:lncRNA from 1 species
AGGUAAGGAAAUCAACUUGCGGACUAUAUAACAAAUCAGGCAAUAGAGUAUGAAAAUUGCAUAUAUACAGGAUUUGCGAGCCUAGAAUCAAAGGGAAGAAGGAUAUUAAAUAGUGAUAAGAUACAGAGCCCAUAUCUACGAAUAUCAUCAAGGAGGGAUAAGGGGGGAUGAAAGGAUACAACAUAGAUGUUUUACAUUUACAAGAUGUACAUCAAAUCUAGUAAAUAUUACAAGUAUGAAAUGCAAGAUAGUCUUGUUUCUUGGAUCGGAGUAAAACAGGAAGAUGAUGGACCAGAGUAAACCUUGCAAGUUGGUCAAGCAUCAUAUACAAAAAGAAGACAAAGAAAUCAGUAGUUUGAAGAUGGAGUUGGAAAAAGAAGAAAGAAAUGUGACUCACACAGUAAAGAAGCCCGCCCCUAGCAGAGAAGAUCCACAAACAAAAUAUCACAAGCACAAGCCAGCGUAUCAGAGAACACAAUUGCGCCCCGAACGAGUUAGAUUCAAUCAAGGAGGAGAACUGCGCAACAGACAGAAAGACAAUUACUUAUUAUUGAUAAAUGAGCAACGAAGGAACAAGAGGCAAAUCUUACAAAUUGAUUUCUCACUUUAGGAGAAGAUGGAAAGAUUUGUUAGAUCAUAGCAGGAGAAACGUAAUUUAGAUGUGGAGGUUUGUUGGUCACAUGAGGAAGAAGCGGCGUUUAGAAAAACCUUGUCUAAAGGAAAAUGUAUUAGGAAACUAGGCUUUUUAGUUUGUUUUUUAUUUUUUUCAUUUUUG